UAUUUAAGAAAAUAACCUUUAGCUACCAUAGCAUUAAAUCCUCAAACAAAAAACAGUAGGUUCCUAGCUCUAUCUUCUCUCCUCUUUCUUUUCUCUCUCGAAAGGAAACAAAUCUCUCGCCGUCCGGUGUAAAUCCGGCAUUUUCCGUUUACAUAGUGGUGGUGGUCGGCUCUCGUCUAGCACUGACUGGCUUCUUCAGCAGCGGUGGCUAGCUCCUGCCUCACAUCAAUCGACUAUUGUAGCGGUGAUGGUCAUUUUUCAAGUUUCAGUGUUAAAUUUGUUUUAUUUUUAGUGAAAAUUAGUAUUAUUUUUUUAAAAGGAGUGUAAGUGUUAAAUCUAUAUUACGUCAAAACCAUGCCGAACUUCGAAAACCACCUUAGUUUCCUAACAUCAGACAUGAUACUCCUACUUCAAAAAAAAAAA
rnacentral:sRNA from 1 species